UUGGAGGGCAAGUCUGGUGCCAGCAGCCGCGGUAAUUCCAGCUCCAAUGGCGUAUAUUAAAGUUGUUGCAGUUAAAAAGCUCGUAGUUGAAUUUCGAGAUCAGUACGCUGGUCGUGCCUUCGGUAUGCACUGGUGUCACUGGUUUCUCCCUUCUGAAGAACCGUCAUGCCAUUCAGUUGGUGUGGCGGGGAAUCAGGACUGUUACUUUGAAAAAAUUAGAGUGUUUAAAGCAGGCUCGCGCUUGAAUACAUUAGCAUGGAAUAAUGAAAUAGGACGUUUGACCCUAUUUUGUUGGUUUCUAGGAUCGACGUAAUGAUUAAUAGGGAUAGUUGGGGGCAUUAGUAUUCAAUUGUCAGAGGUGAAAUUCUUGGAUUUAUUGAAGACUAACUACUGCGAAAGCAUUUGCCAAGGAUGUUUUCAUUAAUCAAGAACGAAAGUUAGGGGAUCGAAGACGAUCAGAUACCGUCGUAGUCUUAACCAUAAACUAUGCCGACUAGGGAUCGGAUGAUGUUAAUUUUUUAAUGACUCAUUCGGCGCCUUACGGGAAAC
rnacentral:rRNA from 1 species